UACGGAAGGCAGCAGUGGGGAAUAUUGGACAAUGGGCGAAAGCCUGAUCCAGCCAUGCCGCAUGAGUGAAGAAGGCCUUCGGGUUGUAAAGCUCUUUUAGUGAGAAAGAUAAUGACGGUACUCACAGAAGAAGUCCUGGCUAACUCCGUGCCAGCAGCCGCGGUAAUACGGAGAGGGCUAGCGUUAUUCGGAAUUAUUGGGCGUAAAGAGCGCGUAGGCUGAUUUAGUAAGUUAAAAGUGAAAUCCCAAAGCUUAACUUUGGAAUUGCUUUUUAAAACUGCUAGUCUAGAGAUUUGAAAGAGGAUAGAGGAAUUCCUAGUGUAGAGGUGAAAUUCGUAAAUAUUAGGAGGAACACCAGUGGCGAAGGCGUCUAUCUGGUUCAAAUCUGACGCUGAGGCGCGAAGGGCGUGGGGAGCAAACGAGGGAU
rnacentral:rRNA from 1 species